CCCUGUAUUCGAAAGUGACUGUGGGCUGCCUGUGUCCCAGUCAUUGGUAGUGCAGGGAGAGCAAUGGCGGAAAGACACUCCCCAUGUUGGGAGGGCUCCCCAUCCCUUCUGAACCCUGGAACUUUACCACA